rnacentral:lncRNA from 1 species
UGCAUUAUAAGUAUGAGCUGGAAUGAAAAUCCUGAGUCAUUAAAUUAGGAGUAAGCUGGAAGAAUAAGAAGCAGGAGCUGUGAUUUAUUGGAGUAAUAGAGUAGCCGCCAAGAAAAAUAAAAUAAAAUAAACAAUAAUAAGGGCAGCUCGGUUUGGCUAAGGAGAAAAGCAGCAUGAAGGCAUAGCUGGAGUUGAACUAUAAGAAUAAAACUAAGUUAAUUCAAUCUCUCUUUCUCUUCCCUGCUCCUCCACUUGGUCUCCUUCUUGCUCAAUUUCCUGCCGAACAAGCCCAGUCCCUCUUUACCUUUCAGUUUUGCCGAAUCAAACUCAUCCCGUCUAUCCUCAGUUAGCUAGGUCCAGAUAAGUGAGUAGCAAGGUUUUAAUCAAGCUCUAGCAAAUCAAAGGAAGAGCAUACAAGGAAUUGCAAUAAAUAAGCAAGGUAACAACAAUUAAUGAUUUGUUAAUAUUACAGUGUAUGUAUAUGGUUAUCAGUUAGCAAUUAAAAUUGAUUGGGUUAAUUAUGUUAUGAGCUAUGGCCAAAUGAUUAGGCAACAAAAAUAAAGAUAUGACAGUAGGUAUAUCUUGAAUUGAGGUAAGAAACUAAAAGUUAAGCUCAUAUGGUUAUAUUUAUGCAAAACAGUUAGUUAUAAGGAAAUUCAAGUUAGUUUGGCAAAGACAGGUAAUUUAUGAAAUGGGUAAGUUAACUGACAUAAAUUGUGGUAUGUAGCAAUAAUGAUAUGUGAUAUAGCUAAUUAUUAUCAAAUGAAGUGGAGUAUACAAAGUUUACUUAAAGUUAGUAAACUAGUUAAUGCAAGUAUAUUCAUGUAUGGUCUUCGUUAAAAAUUGGAUCCUUGUGGACUGAAUAAGAGCCAUGGAGAUUAGCGUGGUUGUGCAGAGUAAUAAGGUGGGAAAAAUUGGGCUAGAACACAAACCAAGCUCUAUGAAAACUGAAUUUUAAAGCGACACACACUAUGUGUUCGCUAAAACUCCUCCAAGGACUGUUUUUGUUAAAAAAUGAAAACUAAGCGAAGCCAAGACCCGAGUUAUAUAUAUACAUAUUAUAUAUAAGUAAUUAGAAAGUUUUGGUGAAUCGAAUUAAGAGGAAACAUUUUUGAGACAAAACGAAAAGUUGAAAACUAGUUUGGCUACUGACCUUGAGGCCAAUUUCGGGACUAGUUAUAUUUCAAGAAAAAUUCUGGGUUUUUGGGGAAGUAUAGUACACUGAAUAAGGAAUUCAUAGCCUCUAGAAUGGACUAAUUCCGACCUCGGAGGAGAGAGUUAUGGCAUUCCAAAGUAAGCGUGUCGAAUCUGUCCAAAAUCUGGAAAUCAGAUUCUGACCAGCCCGUUGCACGAAUUUUCUGGAAUGUUGUGUUAUGAAUUUGAAAAUGGUCAAAGACUAAAAGUUGUAGUUCCGGAGGUUAGCUUCACGUGGGCGCAAGAAUCGCUCAAAAAUGUUUUGAAACGAAAAAAUUGUGACUGUUUUAGCGAAAGAGGGUAAAGCUGGAAAUGAAUUGUCCACUUUUGACGCACUGUUUGGGCUGCCUAAUGAACCCGAAUUGGGUAAUUCGUAUUUUUUUUAAAAAUAGUCUUACAUACCACGUAUAACAUAUUCAAAAAUGAGCGCGAUCCGACAUGCGAGCUAAAAAUGGAAAAAUUGCAAAGUAGCCGCGUCGCGGAGGGGGCUGCUGCCCACAGCAGCACACAGACAGCAGCAGCGCACAAUAGUAGUUGGCUGGGGGCUGUUUUGGCCUCUUGUUUAACGCGUCUAAAUUACCCAAAAUGUUCGGUUAGCAUUUUUUUAAAAUAGGUGGACAUACCACCUAUAGCAUAUCCAAAAUUGGUCGGGAUCGGACGAAUGAGACGGAAACUAAAAAUAUGCAAAGUGGACGUAAGAACAUGUUCGUUGGCGGCCUACGCCAAGGCCGGUCUGGCCAAGCCAAGGGCAGCCGAGCCCAGUCCGACGCCGCGAUGUGGUUUUCAUAACGAAACGCAAUAUUUGACGUCGUGGCACGUAUUUCAAGGUGGCGACACAGAUUUUGAAGUUUUUGACAGUUUCACGUAUUUUGAGGCAUCGAGGCAGAUAUAGAACGCAGUUUAAAACCUAAAUAACGUGUACAACCGUUUGAAGCAUACUAGACGCUAUAAAAGCAAUAUGUAAACAUAAGUUUACAUGUACAUGGGUAAUAUAUCCGUGAGAUGGGAUAUGUUGACGUUAAUGAAAGCUAUUCCAAAGUUAUACCUCGGAACUGAACGGUUUUCGAAAUACAAAGCGAUAAUUGUGUAAACGGAGUUGAAAAUUCAACGCUUGACAUUAAUAAGGUAUGUGUAGGUAUAAGACAUACAAAUAGCAUAUGUCUACCUACAAACCAAGCAAAUGAGGCAAUGUUUAACAUUAUAAGAGAAGCGUAUAUGCAAAAACAUAUAUGUACUUCAUGUGUACAUGAAAUGGGAAAAAGUAAUGUAAUAUGAACGCAUUAAGCCUAGAAAGCUAAUAUUCGUGUGAAAUAGUAUUUAAAUUACUCACGAAAGCGAAAAUAAGAUAGAAUUAUGCAAAGUAAAGGCACAAAUGCACUAUAUGACUAUAAGUCUACAUAUAGAUACGUGUAAAGUCUGUAAAUGCAUUAUAAAAGGGUUAUGAACUGUAAAUGUAAUGAAUUGACAUUUUAAAAGCCGUGUUGGAACUUUUUGAGAAUGUAUAGCUAUAAUAAGCCGAAACCUAAAAUAUUCUAAAGGAAUAUGAAAGUUUCUUGGAAAUAAGAAUAUCUGAUAUUGAUAUAGUUUAUGUGAAUAUUGUUAGCUAUACAGGUUAUGAGAUAUGAAUCUGUGACUAAUGUAUGUAUACAUGUGAACAUAAUUGUGUAGGAUUCGGGAAGCGAAGUUAAACUAAAGUUUGUAUCAAGGGUCAUUGAACGAGGCAAGUUUUUCAGUUCUAUUAUGUUUGUGGAUUAAAUGUGAUUAUGUGUUGAGUUACAUACCAUGCUUUAUGAAUUGUUAAAGUCAAAAUAUGACUAAGUUAAUUGGGUUAUGGAACUCAAUUUAUAUGUGAUAUGUGAUAGCACACGUUGUAUGAUGUAACUCGAUAAAUUAGAAAUGUAUAAUGCAUGAAUGUAUGCUUUGUAAGGAAUUAUUGAUGCAUGUAGGAUAUGCAUAGUAAUGAAUAUAUGUUGCAUGCGAAUAUGCAUAGUAAGGGAAAUAUUGUAGUGCAUAUGGAAUUGUGUGCUAUGUGAAACAUGAUAGACUGUUAAAUUUGUUGGGCUGUCAAGUUCAAUCUUGCAAACGCAAACUUUUUGCAGGUUAAUGAUGUUAAGCAAUAUUACUUGCUAUACGGAUGAUGAAGAUUGAACGAUGUGCAAAAUGAAUACAUUUCCUUGAAUUAGAAAUGGUAUAAAUUUAUGAUUGAUAGUUUUGUCAAAUGUAAAUGGGCAGUUAUGUAUAGUUUGAAAUGUUGAAUGGAUAAAUAAUGUUUAUUCUGAAAUGAGAAUAAAUAUGAUUCUAGUAUAAAGAAGAAUUGUAAAGGUUGCGAUUCAGGGAAUGAAUGAAUGAAAAUAAAGAAGAAAACAAAAAUUAUUCCGCAUUUUUAGCUAUUUUAACAUUAAAUAAUGUUUUAAAGCUAUAACAAGGUAGUAUUAACGCACAAGAUCGGGAAGGGAAAUGGUCCCGAUUUUGGGGUCGUUACAACAUAUUUCAUGGAAACUGUAAACUCCUUGACCAGAUUUGUACUACAUGUUGCCUUAUACCAAAAAAUAAAAUAAAAUAAGGUUCAAUGCUUUUGUCUGUUUUUUCAAUGAGUGUGUGAGCAAUACAAUAAUAUAAAUAAAACUUUAUUUCAUAAAAUGAAUGCGUAAAAUACAAUGUUCGACUAGAUAUCCUUCUGAAUACAAAGGAAUAAAGCGGGAAUUGAAUAAACCAAUAAAAAAAUAAAUAAUAUGGAGUGUCAAUAUGACUUCCCUUAUUUGUUAGAAUAAUCUAGUCAUACUCUUGUAAAAAUGAUGGGCAUAGUGUGUUUUGUUUGUAUAAGAACUUGUUUAUAUACGGAUUUUAGGCACAAGAAGCAAGUGCUGGAUUCGUGGAAUUGUUAAUCCAGAUUUCUCAGUCAUAUCUAAGUCACCAAUUGAAAUCCCACUCGGUAGCUCCCAAUCAAAGCAAUGCAACAACUGAGCCA